rnacentral:rRNA from 1 species
GAUUCUGGGCAGUGGAUGACUUGGCUUGUGUGUCUACUAAGAAUGGAGCUAGCAGUAGGAGUUAUUGUGAAUUGCAGGACACAUUGAUCACUGACAUUUUGAACACUCUUCUUAUGCUAAAAUCAGUCUGU